UACGAAGGGGGCGAGCGUUGUUCGGAUUUACUGGGCGUAAAGGGCGCGCAGGCGGCUCAUUUUGUCAGGCGUGAAAGCCCCGGGCUUAACCUGGGAACUGCGUUUGAUACGGAUGGGCUAGAGUUCGGGAGAGGAGAGUGGAAUUCCCAGUGUAGAGGUGAAAUUCGUAGAUAUUGGGAAGAACACCAGUGGCGAAGGCGGCUAACUGGUCCAGCACUGACGCUGAGGUGCGAAAGCGUGGGGAGCAAACAGG
rnacentral:rRNA from 1 species